UACGGGGGGGGCAAGCGUUGUUCGGAAUUACUGGGCGUAAAGGGCUCGUAGGCGGCCAACUAAGUCAGACGUGAAAUCUCCCGGCUUAACUGGGAGGGGUCAUUGGAAACUGCCGAGCUUGAGGCGAUGAGAGGGGUGUAGAAUUCCCGGUGUAGUGGUGGAAUGCGUAGAUAUCGGGAGGAAUACCAGUGGCGAAAGCGGCACCCUGGCAUUAGCCUGACGCUCAUGUGCGAAGGCGUGGGGAGCGAACGGG
rnacentral:rRNA from 1 species